CGUGGCACUGAAAAUGCCUAGAUAGAUUUUAAAAAAAUCUUGCAGACA
rnacentral:tRNA from 1 species